CCACCAGCCUUCCACUUAGUGGAUGACCUGUUGCUUCCGCAGAAGGCAUUUUUUAGAGGGUUGGAGCAACCAGGCCAUACCCUUCACAGUCCACCAAGCAUCUCUCACGCCAUUUGAUGCUUCAGCUGGGGGACAUGGAAAUGAUGGUGUAAAGUAUCCUGUACAGAGGAAACAAAGAGCAUCUGGAGAAAGUAGAGGUUGGUAGCAGACUGGGGAUGCAAACAGGGACAGCAGAGUUGUAGAUGAUGUCAUGUGGUUGUGUGUAUAUUCAACCCAGGGCAGGUGAGAUCUCCAUGUUGACUGCUUGGAUGAUGCAACACAGCAAAGAGUGGCCUCAGUGCAGGUGGUUAGGAUGCUCAGUUUUUCCAUUAGUCUAGGGAUGAAACUGGGGAUAAAAGACUGAGCACUCCACAGACUUCCUUCCACACACGAGAGGUGAAUAAUUAUGCUGAAAUAAGAAGAC
ensembl:lncRNA